rnacentral:rRNA from 1 species
GAUGAACGCUGGCGGCGUGCCUAAUACAUGCAAGUCGAGCGAAGCGGGGACGGGUGAGUAACACGUGGAUAACCUCCUAUAAGACUGGGAUAACUUCGGGAAACCGGAGCUAAACCGGAUACUUAUCGAUGGAUCCGCGCUGCAUUAGCUAGUUGGUAAGGUAACGGCUUACCAAGGCAACGAUGCAUAGCCGACCUGAGAGGGGGAUAGGCAACACUGGAACGGAGAAACGGUGCAGAGUCCUACGGGAGGCAGCAGGAGGGAAGCGUCCGCAAUGGGCGAAAGCCGGACGGAGCAACGCCGCGUGAGUGAUGAAGGUGUUCGGAUCGUAAAACUCGGUUAUUAGGGAAGCGGUACCGAAUCAGAAAGCCACGGCUAACUACGUGCCAGCAGCCGCGGUAAUAC